UGUCUACGUCCAUCUUCUAGAAAUUUCCUCUGAACCCUGUUCGUCUUCUUCUUUCAUCUUCAACAUCUGGUUGGAUGAAUUGUAAAAUUUCUUAGUGAGAAAAGAGUUUGAGUGAUUCCUUUCGCGAGUGUAUGGCGAUACAUGUGGUGUGGGUUCUUCGCGUCCAUAGAACAACUCCAUUCACGUCUGUAAGUGAGGUUCUGGGUUGUUCGGUGCCUCUGCGAUGAAACAAUCAGGUAAAAUUGAUUGAGCCAACGAUUUAUGAGAUCUUGAUGCUUUUGGUUUAGAUUUGUCGUAGUACUGUGUAAUCUUCAGAAUCAGUGAUUUAUGUUCUCGAGGAUUUUGAAUAAUACAAUUAAUAUUUAAUAAGAACCAAUUUAGGAAUAUGAUCGGAUCUCACCAAGAUCAAUUUUUCUUCUUUCUAGAGAGAAUAGCAGCCUCUUAAUAUUGUUCGACCAUUCAUCUAAAGUUGAAUUCUGAUGUGAAGUAUGAACUUUUAAAGUUGUUUAAUUGUAGAGAAUACGUGCCCUCUUUUCCUCCACAUCGUUAUUUCCUCCAUCAAUAGAAAAUUUAUAUUGCCAUUUUUGCCUUUCGAUUUAUUUCUCCAUUCCGAUGAUGAAAAUGAGAAGAUGAGAAGACAAAGAUCCCACUUCUUCAAAAGCCUUCUUAACUUUCAUUUUGGUCCUUCUGUCUAUUUAUUUUUGUUUAUUGAACUAUUAAUUUUGCCAGUUCUUAUUCAAUCUAGGCAUACUUUUCGCCAUUGACUUCUUUAACGUGAUAUUCUCUUAAUUUUUGUUGAUUGCUCAUGCGAAUUGUAGUUGAGGGUAUUUAUUUUUGUUAUAGUUGGUUUUCCAGUGUAAUUACUAGGUCCGGUAUUGAGUUUACUCUAGGCAAUUUGAGGUGGAAAAGUAGAAUUUUGACGUCUGAAGAUGAUGAGUUUCGGAGACCCAAGUGUAACAACGGGAAAUACAUGGAAAUGAACCAAAUCGAAAGGUCAUUUUGGAAUAACUUUGGCUAAUUUUGAUACCCAAAAUACCCCUUUAUAAUAUUACAUAAUAAGUUAAUGAAAAAUAGAAAUUUUUCAUUUUAAUCCUUAAAAAAUUAAAUACUGCUUGAAUUUUAAUAGAUUACCAAAUUUAUUUGAUUUAUUAGAUUUUUGUUCGCUCUAAGUGGCACCCCCUUUAUUGGUAUCAGUGUCAUAGAGAUUAUGGAAAUUAAAAUAUGAAAAAUAGAUAAUUAUUGGUGUUUAGAAGAAGAAAAAGGUAAUUAUAUAUUUUUAAAAUCUAUUCAUAAUAGAUUAAAGAUAUUGACUUUAACAAUAAUUAAAUAACUUUCUAAAGAAAUAAAGGAACAAAUAUUAGAAAAAUUAAUAAUAGAAAAAAUAAAAGAUAUAUAGACAUAUGAAAAAAUUAUUAAUAUAUAUGAAUAUGAAGAAAAUAAUUUAUAUUAUAAAAAAAAGUAUGAGUAUAAGUAAUAAUACACAUUUAAAAUUAAAUAAACCAUUUAUAAAAAUGAUAAAAUAAAAGAAAAAAUAUGAAAUAUAAUGUUAAUAUCAGAAGAAAUGAGAAUAUCAAAUAAUAGACAAUUAUUAAAAUUAAAAUGCGAAGAUUAAGAAUUGAGAGCAAAUAUUUUACUAUAGUAAAAGAAGAAUUAGUAGAUCUAGAAACAGCUUAGAUAAUAGAUAAAAAAGAAGAUAAAAGAUGCAAAUUAACCUAUGAAUUAGAAAUAAGAAAAAAGUAAGAUGUCAAUAAGUGAAUAUAUAGAAGAUUUAAAAUCAUUAAUAAAAAUGAUAAUAAAUGAUAUACAAGAUUUGAGAAAUGAAGUAAAAGAAACAAGAAACGAUAUAAAUAUAUUAAAAAUUGAAAUUAGGGAAUUAAAAGAAAAUAAUAAGAAUAAAGAUAAGAAAAUAGAUAAAAAAAUUUAUAGAAAAAGAAAUGACUAGAAUAGGAAAGAAACAUAUUGAAAAAGAAAAUAUAGUAAUAGAAACAGGAAGUAUGGAUGAUGAAUUUAGAAAGAAUAUAUUACCAAAAAUAUUAGAAGAGGAAGAAAAAUCUCGAGAAAAAUCAUUAAGAAAAUUAAAAGUAGAAGAAAAAGAAGAUGAGUGAAGAAUUAUAUUUGUUAAUAGAAAAUUUUGAUCAAUUAAGCCAACUGAUAUAAGUGAAUACCAAGUUUUAAUAAAUAUUGGAGGAGGAUCUAAUUCAGCAGGAACCUCUAAACAGAAAUUACAUGAUACAGAUGAAAGUUAUGCACCUAUAUAUAAUAAACCAUAUAGACAAUUUAUGAUAAAGUAAGAGAUUGACAACCACCUAAAGGAAAUAAAUAUAAAGAUAGAUUUGAAUUAAGUGAUAAUUAUGAUAAACCAAUUAAUCAUGGAGGAACAAAACUAGAUUUAAAUUGCAAAAUAGAUACUAAAAAAGUUUUAUUGACUUGCGCAGAUUCAAUGAUAUUAUUUUUUUUAUAUAAUAAAAAUAACACAUGAAAAAGUAUUAAAAGAAGAAUAGAUUUCUUAAUAGCAUCUUUUGAAGAAGAUGUUAGAAAUUGGUGGGAAGGAAUAAGCAAUGAUACAAAAACAUUAAUAUAAAGAAAUGUACAAAUAGAAAUAAUCAAAUUAGAUAGACAAGAUAGAGAAAAAUUAGUAGAAUAUAUUUCAAUUGAAUUUUUAGGAGAAAAUUGGAUAAGAAAUGCUGAAGGAGAAUCAAUAAGAGAAAAAGACAAUGCUAUAAUAAAAUUAAUAAAUUUAACAAUAUGUGAUAUGUGUUAAAAAUUACUAUUAUGUUCAAUUUUAUAGUAAUGAAAAUUAAGAAGUAUACCAAGACAUGUAUUAUAAUAAGUUACCAGGUUCAUGGGGAAUAUGUUUUAAAAUAGAAUUUGAAAAGUAUAUUAGAGAUAAUACUGGAAUACCUAAAACUUUAGGUUCAAGAAUAAAAAUUUUAUUUGAAAAACUUGCAUAUAUAUGUCAAUAAAGACAAUUAAGGAAGAAAUCAGGAAAAUUAACUAAAAUAUGUUGUGAAAAUAUGGAAAUCUCUGUGCAAUGGGGAUGUAAUCCUGAAAGAAGAAUUAAUAAAAGAAAAUAUAAAAAUAAAAAGUUUAAAAAGUUUAGGAAUUUUAAUAAAAAAGUAUAUAAAACUUAGAAAAAGAUAUUACAAAAGAAAAAAUAACUAAUAUAAUCAACAGAAAAAUAAAAAGAAAAAUAAAAGUGAAUGUAAAUGUUGAAAUUGUGGAGAAAUAUAUCAUAUAAGCUCUAAUUGUGAUAAAAAGAAAGUUAGAAUAUUACAAAAAGAAUAUUUAGAAAUAAAAGAUGAAUUAAGUGAAAUAUCAGAUAUUGAAGAAUAUUAUACUCAAGAAGUAUAUAUAAGUGAAACAGAGCAUCAUCAGAAUCUGAAUAAAGAAAUUGAAGAAAUAGAAAAUAAUAACAUAAAUAUACAAGAAUAUGAAAGAAUAGAGAGAUAUGGAUUAAAAGUCAUUUUUGAUAAUAACAAGUUUAGAAAAUUGCAAAAAUUAUUGUUAGACUUUAAAAUAGAAAAAUGGGAAGUUUUUGAUAGAAUUUGGAAAAGAGAAAGAAUAGCAAUAAAUGAAUAUCACAAAAUAGAAAAAAUCAUAGAUGUAAGGACAACUUAUUUGCAAUAUAAAUUAAAUUUUUUAACAAAAAAUACAGUUGAAAAAUUAUUAACAAAGAUUAGUAAAAAACAAAGUGAAAAAAUUCAAUAUAUUUAUUUAGCAGGAAUACAAAUAAUGUUUAAAUCACUAUUUAGAGAAAGAAUAGAUUCAUCCUUAACUAUAACUUUAUAUGAUGGAAGAAUAAUAAAUUUAAAAGAUAGUCAUUUAGGAACAAUAGAAGGAAAUUUAGCAUAUCAAAAAAUUAUGUUUACAUGUUAUCCAAAAUAUUGUUUAUCAUUAAAAGAUAGAAAUUUUAAUGAAAUUUUAAAACUACAUUUUAAAUUUCAUAAAGAUGAUAUCAUGCAAUCAGGUGAUCAAAUUAUAACUACAAAAUAUAAAGUUUUAUAUACAUUUACUAAUUCUAAUUAUGGAAAUAUUUAUUCCAAUAAAUCAUAUAUUGAAGUUCAUAAAGAAUGUAAAGAUAUUAGUAAAAUAAUGGAACCAAAUAAACAAAUAAAUUUAAUUCCAGAAGAAUAUAAAUUUAGUAUAAACAAAAAUAGACUUGAAAUAACAAAAUUAAAUGAAGAAGAAUGUUAUAAUAAUAUCAUAUUUAAGGAUAAAAAAUUAAUUAAAAGAUCAAAAAAUUUUAAAAUACAUAAUAAAAAUCAGUUAGAAGAAAUUAACAAAAUAAAAGAGGUAAAAUUGUAUAGGAAUGGUGGAAACAUGAAAAUGGAAGGAGAAUAUUAGAAUGGAAGAGAAAAUAUAAAUAGAUCAAAUAUAUUAAUAAAUACAGGAGUUAGUGAAUGUCAUAUAGAUAAAGGCCUAAUAACUCAUAAAACUGAGCCAUAUAAGUUUGUAAAUCUUGAUAGACAAAUACAUAUAACAGAUUUAGAAGUUAAGGUACCAAUAAAAAUAGAAGGAAUAGAUCUUUUAGUACCAUAUUAUACAGAUAAAAGUAUGGAUAUAAAUCCCCAUAUACUUUUAGGAAUGAGUUUUCUAAAUGGAUUAGAAGAUUAUAGCAUAAAAAGAGAAGGAUUAUAUAUUGUUCAUAAUGUACAAACUACAUUAUGUAAAAAGAAUUAGAUGAAUAAUCAGAUAAGUUUUUCAUUAGCUGUGUAUAUACAAAUUACUAUUGUAGAAACAGAUAUAAUAACUUGUGCGUUAAUAGAUACAAGAAGUGAUAUAACAAUAUUUAAAUUUUUUUUAAUAAAAUCAUUGAAUAAUAAUAGUAAUAUAAAAAUAAUUGGAGUUAUAGGAGAAAGUACUCAAAUAAUUAAUAGCGCUGAUAAAGUUAAUAUAAUUCUUGGAGGUAAACAAGUAAAAAUAAAUAAAAUUUAUAAAUAUGAUAAACUAGAAUGUGAUAUUAUUAGGAAAUGAUUUCAUACAACAAUUUCAAUAUUAUAAACAAAAUAAUUAUAUGAUAAUGCUACAAACACCUUGUAGACACUUAUUAAAAAUUCAUUGAGAAUUUAAACCUUACAGAGUUCAGCUAAUCUAGUGUGGUGAUAAAUGAGAAAAAACUAAUUAUAUUUAAUGAAAUAAAAAAUAAAAGAAUAUUAUAUAAAAAAGUUCUAAAACACAGGAAUAGAAAUGAAUAUAGAAAAAAUCAUUGAACAAUUAGAAAAUGUUUAUGGGGAAAAUUCAUUAUUAUUUUGAAAAUCACAUCACCUAAAAGCCAAAAUAGAAUUAACAGAAAAUGUUAUAAUAAGAGUUAGACCAAUGGUGUAUAUUAUAGAAGAUUCACAAGAAUUUAAGAACCAGAUAAAAGAAUUGCUAGAACAAAAACUUAUUAGACCUAGUAAUGAACCUCAUAGUAGUCCAGCCUUUAUGGUUAUGAAACAUUCUGAACAUUAGAGGAAAAGUUAGGAUAGUUAUAAAUUAUAAAGAAUUAAACAAAUAUCUAAAUUUGAUGAUUACUUUCUACCAAAUAAAGAAGUACUAAUAAAUCUUGCAAGAGGGAAACAAUAUUAUUCUAAAUUUGAUUGUAAAUUAGGAUUUUGGCAAAUAAAAAUGGAAGAAGAUAGUAUACAAUAUACUGUACUUAGCACACGUCAAGGAAAAUAUGAAUGGUUAGUUAUGUGAUUUGGUCUAAAAAAUGCACCACAAAUAUAUCAAAGGAAAAUGGAUAAUAUAUUUAAAAAGUUUAAUGAAUUUCUAAUUGUUUAUAUAGAUGAUAUAUUAAUAUGUUCUAAUAAUAAAGAAGAACAUAGAAAUCAUUUAAUCCAAUUUAUUAACGAAUGUAAAAAAGAAGGAAUUGUACUAUCUAAAAAUAAAUAUAUAAUAGAAAAAUAAGAGAUAGACUUUCUUGAAUUAUCAAUAGAUAAAAGAUGAAUAAAAUUACAGACUUAUAUAUCCAAAAAGAUAGAAAGUUUUUCAGAUAAAUUAGAAUCCAAAGAACAGAUCCAAAAAUUUUUAGGAUGUUUAAACUAUGCGGAAGGAUUUAUUGAAAAUAUUUCUAAGAAAAGACAUAAAAUUCAAGUUUUACUUAGAAAAACAAAUACUAAAGAGUGGAAUAAAGAACAAACAAGAAUAGUUAAAUUAUUAAAAUAAGAAUGCAAAAAUUUACCAAAAUGAAGAUUAACAGAUGAAAAAGAUAAUUUGAUUGUUAAUAUUGAUGCCUCAUAUAAAUAUUGGGCAGCAAUAUUAAAAACAAAUCUAAAUGAAAUUUGUAGAUAUUCAAGUGGAACUUUUAAUCAAGUAGAAAUAAAUUAUACUGUUCAUGAGAAAGAAUUACUAGCAAUUAUUAGAGGAAUAAAAAAGUUCUCAUUAUUCUUAUUGUCUAAAAAAUUUAUUGUUAAAACUGAUAAUUUUCAAGUUGCAGGAUUAGUCAGAAAUAAAUUAUAAUCAGAACCUCAAUGCAGAAGGCUACAUAGGUGGCAAUCUUAUUUAGCAUUUUAUAAUUUCGAUAUUGUCCAUAUUAAAUGAGUUAAUAAUUUCCUUGCAAAUUUUCUCAGCAGAAACAUAUAAUUUGCUAAUGGAUAAAGUCAAGGUCGUGGAAUUAUACCAAUCCAUCAUACAUAUACAAAAAAUGGCGAAUUUUCUUAAAGAAGAAUCCGAAGAUAUAAACUCUGGAGUAACCCAGAUCUCAGAGAUGUUCAAUUUAAAUAUAAAAAUACUUUUGAAUAUCACUACUGACCAUUAUAAAUAUGCUAUAGAACUCAAAAAUCAAGUUGAUGCUAUUCCAGCAUAACUAAAAGAUAUACUGUCUGAGACAAAUAUACCAAAGAGCUCAGAAAUGAGUUUUCCAAAUCAAUAUCAAACAGGGACAGUUAGAAGCAGCAGUGGACCCAGACGUGACAACAUACCAACUGAUGAUAAAGGAGAUUUCAUUUCUGUAUCAACCAAGAAAGUUAUGAUUCAUGGAGAUAAAAGAGAUACCAAAACAAUCAGUAUCAUAGAUCAAGAAGAUAAAAUCUCUUUAGAUCCAAAAGAAGAAAAAUAUGUCGAAAUAGUCAAAAUUGCUUAUGAAAUAAAAAUGAGCGAUUCAUAUUUUAUUUUUCCGGGAAAUAAUGUUUAUCUCAAAAUAACAGUAAUGGAAGGAGGAGACCCUUCAUUUAUAAAAAUUAUGGGAGACUAUGGAUUCAUGAAUUUGGUUUAUCCAGGAAAAGAUUUUAUUGAAAUUUUAAAGUUUGAUGACAUAUUUUUUAAAGAAGUAUCCAGAUUUGCUAAGGGACAAAAAAUAUAUUUGAAAUUUUAUUCAAUCAGUCCAGAAUAUGAUGGAGUUGUUUACUAUCCAGUUGAACACAUAAUCUCAAUUUGAUAUGUUGCAGUCAACUUCCAAAUUGAUGUUACAGAAAAUAAUAGGAAAAUUCCAACAGUGACAAAAUCAUGGAUCAGACAUAGAAGAGCAUUUGGAAUUAAAGCCAUCUACAACAUUGUCGAAAAUUUGUUUGAUAAAAAAAUUCUCGUGCUUGUGCCAAUAUGGAAAUUGGAUGUUGGUAUCCAGUGGAGGAUAUGCAAAGUCAGAGAUUUUAAAAUAUUAUAUUACAAGAUUUGAUAUACAUCAAUUUUCAGGAUGUCCUACCACUAUAAAAGAAUUUUGCUAGCUAAGGGAGUGUCCCAACUGCAUGUGAAGACAUUGGAGAUAAAGAGCAAUAAUAGAAAAAAGAUGUUCAUUGGAUAAAAAGUUGAAGCAACAUGUGAAGAUGUAGGUCCAAAGAAGAAAAUAAUAGAGAGGCAAGUGUGCCUUGCUGAUGUACUCAAUGAUAUAAUAGAGUCUCAUAAAUUUAUAUAAAUAGAGGCAUUGCCAUAGAGAAAAGGCAUAUCAUCUUAUCCUGAAAUCCCGAGUUGUAAGCAAUAGCUACUAAAAUCCAUUCUCAGUUUGAAAAAUUAGCUUUUCUGGAAAUCCCUUUGUAUCGAAUAGAAGUCUUGUAUAAAUUCUGAUAGAAAUAAAACUUCAAUAUUUUUUAUAUAAAUAUGAGUUUCUAAAUCUUUAUUCCCAUAGAUUUUUGAUAGAUUUGAUAAAAAGUUUCAUUCUUAUUUUAGCAAAAAGAAUGUUUUUCUUUAACUGAAGUCUAGAAUUUCAUUCUUUAGAAAUCGAAACAGUGAGAGCAAGUAGCUGAAACAGUAACAAUUUCAUAAAGGCAGAAGGCCGUUGAAGGAAGCAGUUUACAGAUUCAGAGCUCAAAGGUCACUUGAUUCUAAGAAUACAAGUCCAGAUCAAACCUAAGGUAAAACUAUUAAAUUUUUGCUAAAAUUAGAAUGAAUUUUUUUAAGAUCUUAAAGAAUCAUAGGGAUUAAUUGCAUGAUUUGAUGAUCAUUUGAAUAAAUGACAGGAUAUACAAUCAAAAAAUUGGAUAAUUUAUUAGAAGAGAUGAUAGAAGAAAUAAAAAAUAUGUAUUUUCAAUUAGAAAAUAUGGAUGCAUCUUUGAAGAAUAUAAUAUAUUAAAAAAUAAAUGUGAACAAUAUGUUGCAGAUUAUUUCAAUUUAGAGUAAAUUUAACCAAUAAUCACUGAACUUUGCACUUGAUUACUACUUGCUCACUCAUAUUUCACAUAUUACUGAAUGCUCACUCAUUUUUUCAUAUAAUUACUCAUUCAUCACUCGUCUCUUCAAAUAAUUGGGCGACUUUUACGACAAAUUUUCGACAACUU
rnacentral:lncRNA from 1 species